rnacentral:ncRNA from 1 species
UCUUAUCCAGAGCGGCAGAGGGACUGGCCCGAUGAAGCCCGGCAACCCCUUGCAUCUCACGCAUGAGCGGAGGUGUAUAAGGAAGGUGCCAAAUCCUGCAGGAGCAUAUCCUGAGAGAUGAGA